GUUGGAAACAACCCUCAAUGCAACAGUGUUGGAAGGUGGAGACUUUGGGGAGGAGUUUAGGUCAUAAAGGCUUUGCCCUCAUGAAUGGAUUAAUGCCACUACAAAAAGGGUUUGCAGGAGUAGGCCCACUCUCUCUUGUUCUUCUGCCUUCUGACAGGUGAGUACAUGGCAAGAGGACCCUCACUAGAUGCUAGUAUCUUGAUCUUGGACUUCCCAGAUCCCAGAACUGUGAGGGAAUAAACUUCUGCUCUUUAUAAAUUACCCAGUCUUAAGUGUUUUGUUAUGGCAGCAGCAAUUGAUAAUUCCUUUUCAAAAGAAUCUGUUGAUAUUGAGCUCUCAGGUUUGUUUGCUUGAAAUUGUUUUUGUUUUACUACAGACCUUAAGAAACAAACAUAAAAUAUUUGUUUAAAAGUUAUUUUCUCAUGUGAGUAAAUGCUAUUUACUUAACAAAACAGUUACUUUCCACCUUUCUGUGACAUUUUUAAAAGUUAAAUAUUUCUCCUUUGAGAUUAAGGUCUCUCUUCAAUUAGAGUUGAGAAGGGAACAAUAGGAGGGAAUUACUAGGCUAAUUAAAUGCUCACUCCAUCAAGCUGGCGACUGGCAUCUUGAGAGAUUGCUGGACUAAAUGGUUCUCAUGAUUGGUCUCUUGCUUUCUCCUAGAAAGGUGACGUUAAGACAUUUCCUCAUAAACUGGAUUAAAGGUAGACUUUCUACAUUCAGUUGCAUUUGUAUUGAGAUCUAUAGGCUUAAAUAUAUACAUAUUAUGCAUCCUAAAUUGUAAUUUUAGUAUUGCUCUUAUAAAAUACAAAUUUUAUAUUUUUAUUUCUUUAUUAUAAUAUUUUGCAUUUAAGCAAAUCAACUAAUAGUGAUAUUAAAAUAUGAGAAUUCCUAGAUUUUGCCAUAUUUUCUGAAUUACAAAUUCUCAAAACUCUGCUUCAUAUCAUUUAUGCUUUCAAUCCAGUUAGUAGCCAUGUAUUACCAUGGGAAGCUUGAGGGAGGGGUAGGAAGAGGACAAGAAUAGGAGAGGCCUGUUUAAAUUAGUGAGAAAUACAAAUUGUAGUCAACUUUGAGAUCAUUUAAAAUAGGAUUCUUAUGUAUUAUUGAGGAUAAUAAAUGGUUCUUAGUGAAGGUCCUUAGAGGGUCUGAAUAAAUGAUUAGUUAUGAGGGAUUUAUAGUUAGAAUAUUACUUUUGUGAAGAUACAUAGAUACCUCUAAAAUAAUUAAAAACACUUAAAAUGUUCCUGGAAUUUUGGAAAUAUUUUCUGUGAAGACUUUUUGCAUAAUGAACAGGUAAACAUCAAUCCAUUCUCUCUCAAGUAUGUAUGAAUCAUUAAUUAGCGCAACAUGAAUUAUUUGUAAAGAUUAACAUAGACUAUUCUAAAGCACUGACUUAGUGGUUUUAAAUACAAGUAAGGAUAACCAUUUGGGUAAGGGUUAAUACAAAUGCUAGUUUAUAAAUAAAUAUAUAUAAAUAACUUACUUUCAGAGAUUAUUUUAGGCAAAUGGGUGGCUUUGGAAAUAGUGGCUUUUAUUCAAAUAAUUGUUGUAAAUUUAAAACCAAUUUGAAGUGAUCAUCAUAUAGGGUGACACAAGACCUCCUUGCCCAGCUAUAUUUUAAAGGCAGACUAUGAGUUGCAACUCUUCACAAGUAUUCAAUUUUAAAUUUAAGGUGUCUGUCCUCCAACUUCUCUGAUUCCAUCAACCCUGUUUCUCUGGGGUUGUUAUGCAUUGAAAGUUUUAGCAUUCUUUGAACAGUAAAAAAUACAACCUUUUGCUUGUUUUUAAUUCCAGCAGCACGUUUUGCUUCACAAAGACAAUAAUAUGGGUUGAAAAGGCUCUGUUCUGAUGCACUAGAUGGUUCUCUUCAUAUUGACUCAGUCUAGAAGGACUUCAUGUUAAUGCAAAUUAAAAUCAUAGUAUUCUUCCUUAGCUAGGCCACAUUUCCAUUCUAAGGUCUUCAUUUCAAUUCCUAGUAGAAUCUACAUGCCACAUAAUCCUGGAGAAUAGAACCAACACCAUCUCCAUUUAGCACCAAGCAAGGGUGGUUUGGGGAAAAGUUGAGUGAGUGCCUUUCUACUAAAGAAAACCAAGAUGGUACCUUCACUGUAAAAAUGUUUCUUUACAUAAAAAAUAAUGUCUAAUACCCUCAAAUUAAUUUUCAAUUUCAGUUUAAGGGAUGGAUCUUGGUUUGAAUAUAAAUGCCCCUGGAAAAGACAAUACUUUGGAAGAUUGUUUAUAUUUUACAUCUUAAUGUUUAUGAGUUUCAGAUACUCUUCUGCAAGUAGGUUUUAGAAUAAGGGACAAAGAAAAAAGUAUAUGGGAAAUAUGCAUCUCAGAGGACUUAGGAGACGGUAUCCUCAAGAAAGGAUGAGUGGGCAAGAUAUUAAAGCAAAUUCCUCCUCCAUCACAAUCUCAUGCAGGGCUGCCCCAAUAUGUACACAUUUAUUCAUUCUUUUGACUAGUCUUAAUUUGGCAUCUACUAUAUUCCAGGUAGUACUAGGCUCUGAGGGUACAAAAUUAAACAUAAUUUACUUGCUGAUUUUAGGAAUCCUAUUCUAGUGGAGGAGGAAGAAACCAACAAUUACAAUACAUAAUGACAAAUGUGUAAGCGAAGAUGGUACAGGAUUCCACGGGGCAUUACGUAAAAUAGAAGGACACUAUCUGCAAACUAUUUCUGGAGUUAGAAUCUUUAUUUUUGGAACAUGAGAAUGAUACUUAUUUAGUAUAAUGCAUUUUGGAUCCAGUCAACCAUUGCUGUCCUGACAUUAUCAGCUCUAGGAAGGGCCGAGGAUCUGAUGCCAGCAAAGUUGAAAAUAUUUUAAUAUCUGGUCAAGUCAGCUGCUCUGACAGCAACUGAUUUGCUGAAUGUCAAAUCGGUUCACUCUGGAAUUUAAUGGAUUUUAAUAAGGUUUGGGAUGGGAUAAAUCUAAACAAUGUUCGAAUAAGUAUUUACCAAUUUAGCUUUUUGCAUUUUGGUUAAACAGAAGGACCAUCUCUAAAUACAGAUUUACAUCAUGGGCACAAAGACAGCACCACUCUUCAUUUUAUGGAUUAUAAUAUGCCUUGACACAAUCCAGGGAAUUUGAAGGUUCAUUGCUAAGGAAUGGAUUGAAUCAGUACCUAAACCAGCUGACAGCUGCCAUGCUGUAAGAUGGUCCACAAGGCUUUUGGCCAACAACCAAUGAUGGAUUGAGGCCUUCAGUCCAACAACCCACAAGGAACUCAAUCCUGCCAAUGACUAUGUGAACCUGGAAGCAGACCUAUCCUCAGUUGAGCCUCUAGAUGAGAACCCGCCUAUGGCUGACACCUUGAUUUUGCAGCCUUGCAGAGGAUUCAGCUAAGCUGUGCCCAGACUUCUGACCCACAGAAACUGGAUGAAUAAAGAAUGCAUCUUUUGCCAAGUACUGGGUAGAAUUUCCUUGGAGAGACUACAGAAGUGUGAGCAAUUUGGCUCUGUUCAUUACAAACAGGUGAAAAUCAGCUUUGAGGUCUUCAGUUAUUUGCUGGACAAUUCCCUGAUGAUAUUAAAGCACCCAGUAGAAGAAUGUGCCUUAUCAAAAACAUAUAUCAAUCAUGAUGAACCUUUAAAAUAUAUUAGUUGAUUGCUUACGGCUGUUUUAGACUAAAAGACCAACACAAAAUGAUAGCAACCAGUCGCCAGAAAAAAAGCAACAAAACCAAAGAUUCAACUGGGAAGAGGAGUCGCCUUUCAUGACCUUCAGACAACGAGUUCAUGUACAUGAGCACAUCACAAGAAGGUAGUCUUAUUUUAGUUACCCAAGAGAGCUCAGAUUUAGAGAGAAUAGGAAUAAAUUGAAUAUAUGUAACAUUCUUACCUGAAAGACAUUCUUUCUGCUCGAUUUUUCCUUGGCCCAUUCAAUGUGUGCUCCACACAAAUCCACACUUUCUGGUUUGUGCCCAGUUUUCUGUAAUCACAAAAAUGAAGUAAGAAUAAGAGGAUGCAACACUGUAGAUAGAUGUCAGAGAAAUAGGAGUUUAUUGAGUUAGCAGCUAUACAUAUUUAUGAUAUAAUGCCUUUUUUGUUUUCCCCAGGGGAAACCUAAUUUGUAGGAAUUUUCAUUUGGGACCUAAUUUUUUUCAAUGUCUAAAAUUACAGACUUAUUUUUAAAAUUAUUUAAUUAACUAUAAACCAUAGGAAAAAUUAAUAUCUAGAAUACUGAUAUUUUGAGAUGGUAUUCUUUAGUAAUUUAAGAAUAAUGAAAGUUUUAAAAUCUGCUAUUUAGUAAUAUGGAAUAUUGCUCUUCAAUGUCUAAAGUAACAUAAAAGCAUGUUAAGUUAUAUUACUUUUAGACCUAACAGUAAAAGAAAAAAUUGAUAAAUCAUAGUGCAAUGCAAAAAACUGUUACAGAGUUUUAGUUUUGCGACUAUAGUAGAGUUGCUUAGAAUCUGACUACAUCAUCUAGAAAAUUGAGCAGGUGGAUUAAUCUCCAAUUCCCCUUUCAGGUUUGUGUUUCACAUGUUAGCAAAUUCAAUACAUAUUUAUUAAGUGUCAACUAUGCCUUUUAGAAAUUCACUUUUCAGACUUUAAGACUAUACACACAAAUAUAAUUUCAUUUGGUAAAUUUAACUUAGACCAAAAGGAUUAAAAUGUGUGCUUCCUAUUACACAAUUACAAUGUGGGUAUUACUUAAAAGAUGUUUUUUAUUUCAAUAAUUCACAAUAAUCAAUAGGAAUAUCACCCACAUUUGUCUUUUCAUAUUUUCACUUGAUUCAAGUUAAUCAUACUUAUACAACUUUACAUUGGCAUACCUCCAUACCGCCAAUUAUUUUUUAAAAAGUUUACCAGUUGAGAAUUUCUUUACUAUUUUUUCAAGAAGUUUCUCCACAGAUAAAUUUUCUAGGUUUCUCUGUAGAUUCCAUACUUUUCUCAAGUCAUUGUCCAUAAAAUACUUCAGAAUUUUAGUAUAUGAAGCUUAUUAUAUUUUUAGCCAAUGUUUUUAACAUUAUGAACAUUAGGAUAAAACAUGAAAUUAUGAAAGAAUGGUAAAUAUGUUUUAAAAACAUAUUCUGUCCAUGUUUGUUGCCUCUUAGCCAUUAUAUCCAAUUCUAUAAGUUCAACAUAAAUAGGCUUUUUCAGAAGCCAGAAAUUUGUUUUUUUAUGGUAAAUUAUGAGACUUUUUUCUGGCAACUGAAUUUUUUUUUGAAACAUUGUAUAACUUUCCUACAGGAUAAACCCAGCCGGCAGGAUAGAAUUUGAUAGCAUAUCUACCUUUUUUGUUGUUGUUAUUUAGUAACCUCAGGAGAAACCCAUCAAAAUGAGCCAUGCUCCUUAAAGAGAUUUUGAUCAGUGAAAAGUUUUUAUUGUUUCACCCACGCUCUGCCACCCAGGUGAUCACUAUUUUAGAUUUCAAAGCAUGAUAAUGAUAGUCUUUGUCAAGUGAUUUAUGAUGUAGAAAAAUUAACAACAACAUGCUUCUUAUAGAUUUAAUUACAUUAGGGGAUACUCAGAACCAACGAAAAUAAUCAUUAAGAGUACGUAACAAAAUGGCUUAUUUUUCCCAUACAGUCAAGUCAGGGGGUUAAAAAGGUAUAAUUAUUUUAAGAAGCACUUUUU
rnacentral:lncRNA from 10 species